UACGGAGGGUGCAAACGUUGCUCGGAAUCAUUGGGCGUAAAGCGCACGUAGGCGGCUUGUUAAGUCGGGUGUGAAAUCCCUGGGCUCAACCCAGGAAGUGCACUCGAAACUGGCGAGCUUGAAUAUGGAAGAGGGUCGCGGAAUUCCCGGUGUAGAGGUGAAAUUCGAUAGAUAUCGGGAGGAACACCAGUGGCGAAGGCGGCG
rnacentral:rRNA from 1 species